AUGCGGCAUGAUGGAGGAGAUGGGCUCCAUCGAAGCCAACAACACACUGCGCCUUGUGGAUCUCCCUCCUGGUCAUCCCUCAGUCGGUUUGAAGUCGGUCUACUAUGUAAAAGAGGAUGCAGGUGGCGUCCUGGUGAAGUACAAAGACAGGAUCAUCGCAAAGGAGUAUGUCCAGAAGCACGAUGUCGACUACGAUGGAAUAUUUGCUCUGGUGGCGAGACUCGAGUCCGUACGCCUCCUCGCUCUCACGGCACGCAUAGGCUAGAUAGUCCACCACAUGCCUUUCUCAAUGGUGAACCUGAAGAGGAGGUUUACAUGCCACAACCUCCAGGGUUGUUCGUCGCUGGCGAGACCAACAAGGUGCUCAAGCUGGACAAGGGGCUCUAUAUAUGGCCUGAAACAAGCCACGCGCUUGGAACACCAUGGUGGACGCGUGCUUCAUGUCGCUUGGGUUCAGCUGGUGCCCUUUAG
rnacentral:rRNA from 1 species